rnacentral:rRNA from 1 species
AAGUUGGACUCAACGCCGGAAAACUCACCGGGGGCGACAGCAAUAUGUAGGUCAAGCUAAAGACUUUACCAGAAUCGCUGAGAGGAGGUGCAUGGCCGUCGUCAGUUCGUACUGUGAAGCAUCCUGUUAAGUCAGGCAACGAGCGAGACCCGUGCCCACUGUUGCCAGCAUGUCCUUCGGGAUGAUGGGUACUCUGUGGGGACCGCCGAUGCUAAAUCGGAGGAAGGUGCGGGCUACGGUAGGUCAGUAUGCCCCGAAUCUCCCGGGCUACACGCGGGCUACAAUGACUGGGACAAUGGGCUCCUACCCCGAAAGGGGAUGGUAAUCUCAUAAACCCAGCCUUAGUUCGGAUCGAGGGCUGUAACCCGCCCUCGUGAAGCUGGAAUCCGUAGUAAUCGCGUUUCAACAUAGCGCGGUGAAUACGUCCCUGCUCCUU